UGGGGAAUAUUGGGCAAUGGGGGCAACCCUGACCCAGCAACGCCGCGUGAGGGAUGAAGGCCUUCGGGUUGUAAACCUCUGUCCUUGGGGACGAAGAAAGUGACGGUACCCAGGGAGGAAGCUCCGGCUAACUACGUGCCAGCAGCCGCGGUAAUACGUAGGGAGCGAGCGUUGUCCGGAAUUACUGGGCGUAAAGGGUGCGUAGGCGGUUUUUUAAGUCAGAUGUGAAAUACCCGGGCUUAACUUGGGGGCUGCAUCUGAUACUGGGAGACUUGAGUACAGGAGAGGAAAGUGGAAUUCCUAGUGUAGCGGUGAAAUGCAUAGAUAUUAGGAGGAACACCAGUGGCGAAGGCGGCUUUCUGGACUGUAACUGACGCUGAGGCACGAAAGCGUGGGGAGCAAACAGG
rnacentral:rRNA from 1 species